CCCACCCACCGGGUCCGCCAGGGUCAGGAGCCUAAGCCGCGCCGCCAGCCCCGACUCGGGGCCUGGGGUCGAGGACUCCCCGGGCCGGGGCCGCCCAGGGGGCGGAGGCGGGGCCUCAGGCCGUCGCCGGGCUCCCAGUGCCUCUGCCCGAGGAGCGACCAGGCUUCGAGACUCCAGCGUCCUCCCGGCCCAGUCCCGAUAAGCCUCCCGCGAGGGACGAGGCCGGGCAGGGGCCGCGGCGAGGCCGAGGGGCGGCCGUGGGGGACGCUCGCAGCCUCGCGUCGCUCCGUGGGAAGCGGACCCCCCACCUCCCGCCAUGGCUGCAGCGGGAGGAGGCGACGUCCUCCAUUUUGUCGGAAGUGCUGGGGGAACUUGGGGCCCACUCGGAACUCAGCCCCGUAGGGACGGGACCCUGCUCCCCCGCACCCCCGACUGGGUUCUACUUUGCGGCCCCGCUUUCGGCGUGCGCCUGCGGGACCGCGGGGGCCGCACGACGGCGGGGUGACGCCGCCACCCGCUCCUCGGCCCAGCAAGAUGGAGGAGCCGCGGGCUGCCCGAGCGGGGCUCGCGCCCGCGAGGACCCAAACACCCUGGAGCCGUGGCCGACCCGCAGCCCCGGCCCCGCUCCGCCACGCGGCCCGCAAGCGCAGCCCAGUGCGGGCGCCGCCGAGGCCGGGGAUGGGGGGCGGCCAGGGGCGUCCGCGGGGUCUCGGCUUUGUUCCUCGUCUAGCCCCGGUCUCGGGACGCCCGGCGCCGAUCCAGAUCCGCGGACCGAGAACGGGGCGGCGCGCGCCCUAGCGGAGCCCAGCGGGACUGCAGCGGGGGCGCUGGGCGCAGUCCCGCCCUGAUGGAUGGCGGUGGAUUGGAGUUCUCAACUAGAUGGUCAUUGACACCACUGCCCCUUGACGGAUAACCACAGGAUGUAAAAGUCUGGAACCCUGUAGGAUGACAGGGGACAUGCACAUUUUAAUGGAGUUAAUCAUCCGUUAAGGACUCUAAAGACUCGACUCUAGUAGACACGUGUAGGAGACAAUCCAGUAGAAGUUGAGAUUCAUUCACUCGUUUGCAAUGAAAAUGAGCCACCUGUGGCUAACGGCAUAAAUACACUGCUCUCUUUUAUUGAAAAAUACAACAUGCAUUUAAAUCAGCUUUUCAAAAAGUAUCACCUAUUUUUGCAGGA
rnacentral:lncRNA from 1 species